rnacentral:rRNA from 1 species
UACGAAGGUGACAAGCGUUGUUCGGAAUCAUUGGGCGUAAAGCGCACGUAGGCGGGUUUGCAAGUCGAUUGUGAAAACCCUGGGCUCAACCCGGGACCUGCAGUCGAAACUUCAAGUCUUGAAUACUCGAGAGGAUGGUGGAAUUCCAGGAGUAGAAGUGAAAUUCGUAGAUAUCUGGAGGAACACCGGAGGCGAAAGCGGCCAUCUGGCGAGUUAUUGACGCUAAGGUGCGAAAGCGCGGGGAUCAAACAGG